AUUGAACGCUGGCGGCAGGCUUAACACAUGCAAGUCGAGCGGAGAUGAGGUGCUUGCACCUUAUCUUAGCGGCGGACGGGUGAGUAAUGCUUAGGAAUCUGCCAUUUAGUGGGGGACAACAUUCAGAAAGGAAUGCUAAUACCGCAUACGUCCUACGGGAGAAAGCAGGGGAUCUUCGGACCUUGCGCUAAAUGAUGAGCCUACGUCGGAUUAGCUAGUUGGUGGGGUAAAGGCCUACCAAGGCGACGAUCUGUAGCGGGUCUGAGAGGAUGAUCCUACACACUGGGACUGAGACACGGCCCAUACUCCUACGGGAGGCAGCAGUGGGGAAUAUUGGACAAUGGGCGGAAGCCUGAUCCAGCCAUGCCGCGUGUGUGAAGAAGGCCUUUUGGUUGUAAAGCACUUUAAGCGAGGAGGAGGCUACUAGUAUUAAUACUACUGGAUAGUGGACGUUACUCGCAGAAUAAGCACCGGCUAACUCUGUGCCAGCCGCCGCCGUAAGAC
rnacentral:rRNA from 1 species